CUUGCCUGAGAUCUUUCCUAGUAGCCAAGGGUUUGCAUUUUUUAAAGCCAGCGGCAAAGAAUAACAAAAGUGGAAAGACCUCCACGACACUGUCCUAACACAUCCUGUGUUCCAGCCUUAAACAUGACUGUUGUGGGAUAAUCUUUUUGUUCACUGUGAAGAUGUGUCUUUGCCAAGGUACCUUCUGAUUGGUUUAAUAAAAAGCUGAAUGGCCAAUAGCUAGGCAGGAAGAGGUUAGGCGGGACUUCCAGGAGAGGGAGGAACUCAGGGGGAUGAAUCUCGGCACACAAGAGACUCCAGCAAGACUUGGCACAAGUUGGACAUACAGAACAGGAGAAAGACUGCAGAUUAGAACUUGGCCACAGAGGCAACAGCCUUGAAAAUGUAAUCAUAAUUCCAGGCAACCAUUUGCCCAGAAUCGUGUUUGGGAGAAGAGCAGAGGGGGCUAUACUAUGUGUCCCUUGGGCUGGAGCUUCAGGCCUGGAAUCUUCCUCAGUUCAUCUGCUCAUAGCACUGGGCAGGAGGCUGGAUGCUGGGAGAAGCCAUGUAGGGGUCACCUCGUGUCCAAGAGCCUGGCAUAUCACCAGCUGUACCCUGAUGCCUUCGCCACCUUCGCCUUCCUGCGUCACUUCCAGCUUUACACGCUGUACCUCCCCCACCUGGCUGACAAUGUGCUGAUGCCAUAUAUGAUGACAGAAUGACUCAGGAGAAGACUGGACUCUGGAUGGAGCUUCCUUGUCCUCACAGCCCACAUGGGUUGUCUCCUCCCUCCUGAAGGAAAAGAGAGCAGAAAGUACAGGGAAGUGACAGUGCUUUCUGGAGAAGGUUGGCUUUCAUGAGACAGUUCACCAAACUACGGGAGUUAUCCUGUUCCCGUUGGCCAUGCAAAGAUCCAAGAGAGACAGACAAGGGACAAACGAAAGACAUGGCUUUUAGUGAAGUGGCCAGCGUAGCCUGGGAUGAGCUGUCCAGGGGACCGAGGAGACCCGAGAUUUAGACUCACUGUCACUGAUCCCCAUGUUGACAAGACCAGCACCGGGGGAAUACAGUAGGAUGCUGGCCUGUUUUUCCAGGAAAGCUGACUGAGCAGGUCUCCAAACAUCUGCAAGUGCAGGCCAGAAUUCCAUCCAGUCUUCCAGCUUUGCACUAAGACUCAGCAUUAACAAAGCCAGUUUUAUUUCUUGGACUGUGGGAGUACUACAAUUCAUCCUUAAAGUGGCCAUUCAAUUGGUUUCCAUUCCACCCUGAUGGAUCUUCACUGUUGUCAUGUCUCAUCAGAAGAAAUGAAGGAUGAUUUUCUGGAAAUCUUUGUCUGAAAAAAUUCUCAUUUCUUCCUCUACCGCCACUUCUGAAUCCCAUCCCCCGAAAAUGCCUACAGAUAACUGCUGGCCCUCGGAAGCUUGCUCACUGUAUUCUUCAUCAGAGUUAAGGGCUUCUAGUUGUCUACGGAAUCUAACUUCAUCCUCACGGUUUGCUGUCACAUUGCUGCCACCAUGACUUAGAUUCCAAGCCAUCUCCAAGAGGAAUGCUAAGUUUGUGGUUUUAAACAUGUUCUUACAUCAUUGUGAUUGCCAUUGCCCAGUGUGACUGUUCCAGUGACCAUUGCCACAUUACACUUAGUACACAUCAGCCAGAAAGCACACAGUAUGCACCCACACAUGACCUUACCCAUUUCAUAUGCUCAUAGACUGGUGGGUCAGGAGUUCUGAAGCAGCAGAGAAAAACUGGCCUGUCACUCUCUCAUGUUUCGGGCUUCAGCUAGGAAGGUUCAAAAUCCAGGUUAUCUUGUUGGUUGGGCCCUGGAAUUAUCUGGAUACUCACUCACUCACUCAUUCACUCACUCACAUUUAUGGUGCCCCAGCCUGGAAGAUACAUGAAUG
ensembl:lncRNA